UACGUAGGUGGCAAGCGUUGUCCGGAAUUAUUGGGCGUAAAGCGCGCGCAGGCGGCCUUUUAAGUCUGAUGUGAAAGCCCUCGGCUCAACCGGGGAAGGUCAUUGGAAACUGAGAGGCUUGAGUACAGAAGAGGAAAGCGGAAUUCCACGUGUAGCGGUGAAAUGCGUAGAGAUGUGGAGGAACACCAGUGGCGAAGGCGGCGUUUCUGGUCGUGUAACUGACGCUGAGGCGCGAAAGCGUGGGGAGCAAACAGG
rnacentral:rRNA from 1 species